rnacentral:rRNA from 1 species
GACGUAGGGCGCGAGCGUUGUCCGGAUUUAUUGGGCGUAAAGAGCUCGUAGGCGGCUUGUCGCGUCGUUCGUGAAAACCCACAGCUCAACUGUGGGCUUGCGGUCGAUACGGGCAGGCUAGAGUUCGGUAGGGGAGACUGGAAUUCCUGGUGUAGCGGUGAAAUGCGCAGAUAUCAGGAGGAACACCGGUAGCGAAGGCGGGUCUCUGGGCCGAUACUGACGCUGAGGAGCGAAAGCGUGGGGAGCGAACAGG